GUGCGAAGAUCCCAGCGGAGAGGUGGGUCACUCUAUCAAUUGAGAUCUCUCCAACGGUUUGAACUUUUCGCAAAUUGAUAUCCAGACCUAUGAUGCCCUUCAUUUUAUUGUUGGAGCGUCUAGAAUCACCGGAUACAUUCAU